UACAGAGGAUGCAAGCGUUAUCCGGAAUGAUUGGGCGUAAAGCGUCUGUAGGUGGCUUUUUUAAGUCCGCCGUCAAAUCCCAGGGCUCAACUCUGGACAGGCGGUGGAAACUACCAAGCUUGAGUACGGUAGGGGCAGAGGGAAUUUCCGGGUGGAGCGGUGAAAUGCGUAGAGAUCGGAAAGAACACCAACGGCGAAAGCACUCUACUGGGCCGACACUGACACUGAGAGACGAAAGCUAGGGGGGGCGAAAUGGGG
rnacentral:rRNA from 1 species